UACGUAGGGGGCGAGCGUUGUCCGAAGUUACUGGGCGUAAAGCGCGCGUAGGCGGCUUCUUAAGUCUGAGGUGAAAGGUUCAACGCUCAACGUGAACAGUGCCUUGGAUACUGGGGAGCUUGAGUAUGGGAGAGGGCAGUGGAAUGGCUGGUGUAGCGGUGAAAUGCGUAGAUAUCAGUCGGAACACCCAUGGCGAAGGCAGCUGCCUGGCCUAAUACUGACGCUGAGGUGCGAAAGCGUGGGGAGCGAACGGG
rnacentral:rRNA from 1 species